UUCCGGUUGAUCCUGCCGGACCCCACUGCUAUCUAGGUGAGACUAAGCCAUGCCAGUCGAACGACCCGCACUAUGUUCCCAUGUGGCAGACUGCUCAAUAACACGAUCCUAACCUACCCUCGGGACGGGGAUAACCCCGGGAAACUGGGGCUAAUACCCGAUAGGUAUGGAUUCCUGGAAUGGUGCCAUGCCUAAACGUAAACACAUCCAUGUUUGUGUGCACGCCCGAGGAUGGGGCUGCAUUCGAUCUGGUGGUUGGUGAGGUAACGGCUCACCAAACCUUUGACCGGUACGGGCCAUGAGAGUGGUAGCCCGAUGAUGGGCACUGAGACAAGGGCCCAGGCCCUACGGGGCGCAGCAGGCGCGAAACCUCCACAAUUCACGCAGGUGAGAUGGGGUUACCUCGAGUGCCAUCUGAAGAAGGUGGCUUUUCCAUGGUGUAAUGAGCCGUGGGAAUAAGGGGGGGGCAAGACUGGUGUCAGCCGCCGCGGUAACCCCAGCCCCCCGAGUGGUGGGGAUGAUUAUUUGGCCUAAAGCGUCCGUUUCCAGCUCGGUGAUCUCUCGUUAAAUCUUACGUCCUAUAUGCUAGGAAUACUGCUAUACUGCCGAACUAGAGGGUGUCUGAGGUCUACGGGAUUCCUGGGUGAAAUCUUAAAAUCCAUUGAUCCCCACAGGACCACCAGUGCGUCAGACUGCUGACUACCAGACGCCUGACGACGAGGACGAGAGAUGGAGUAGCAUUUCAUAUUAGAUACCCGAUGACCCCCAGCCGUGCACGCUGCAUGAUAGUGUUGCAUCAGCCAUGUCCCUGCCUCAAUGCAAACGUAAGCCGUGACGCCUGCCGACUGCGGACGUACAGCUCAAGCUGAAA
rnacentral:rRNA from 1 species